rnacentral:rRNA from 1 species
CGGGGUGCACCAGGCGCGAAAACUUUACAAUGCUGGCAACAGCGAUAAGGGGACCUCGAGUGCCAGGAUACAAUCUUGGCUGUCGCGAUGCCUAAAAAGCAUUGCAUAGCAAGGGCCGGGCAAGACCGGUGCCAGCCGCCGCGGUAACACCGGCGGCUCGAGUGGUAACCGCUAUUAUUGGGUCUAAAGGGUCUGUAGCCGGCCGGAUAAGUCUUUUGGGAAAUCCAGCUGCUCAACAGUUGGGCUUUCAGAAGAUACUGUUCGGCUCGAGACCGGGAGAGGUGAGAGGUACUUCAGGGGUAGGGGUGAAAUCUUGUAAUCCUUGAAGGACCACCAGUGGCGAAGGCGUCUCACCAGAACGGAUCUGACGGCAAGGGACGAAAGCUAGGGGCACGAACCGGAUUAGAUACCCGGGUAGUCCUAGCCGUAAACGAUACUCGCUAGGUGUCAGCCACGGUGCGACCGUGGUUGGUGCCGUAGGGAAGCCGUGAAGCGAGCCACCUGGGGAGUACGGCCGCAAGGCUGAAACUUAAAGGAAUUGGCGGGGAGCACAAGGGCGAAUUCGC